UAGGUUUUGGCCUUUCUAGGGAGUUUUCCUAGCCACCGUGCUUCUACACCUGCAUUGCUUGCUGUUUGGGGUUUUAGGCUGGGUUUCUGUACAGCACUUUGAGAUAUCAGCUGAUGUACGAAGGGCUAUAUAAAUAAAUUUGAUUUGAUUUGAUAAUCUAGUACUGUUACAGGAGUGAACUAUUAUCAUCAUCCAGUACUGUUACAGGAGUGAACUAUUAUCAUCAUCCAGUACUGUUACAGGAGUGAACUAUUAUCAUCCAGUACUGUUACAUGAGUGAACUAUCAUCAUCCAGUACUGUUACAGGAGUGAACUAUUAUCAUCAUCCAAUACUGUUACAGGAGUGAACUAUUAUCAUAAUCUAGUACUGUUACAGGAGUGAACUAUUAUCAUCAAAUACUGUUACAGGAGUGAACUAUCAUCAUCUCGUACUGUUACAGGAGUGAACUAUUAUCAUCUAGUACUGUUACAGGAGUGAACUAUUAUCAUCAUCCAGUACUGUUACAGGAGUGAACUAUUAUCAUCAUCCAGUACUGUUACAGGAGUGAACUAUUAUCAUCCAGUACUGUUACAUGAGUGAACUAUCAUCAUCCAAUACUGUUACAGGAGUGAACUAUUAUCAUAAUCUAGUACUGUUACAGGAGUGAACUAUUAUCAUCAAAUACUGUUACAGGAGUGAACUAUCAUCAUCUCGUACUGUUACAGGAGUGAACUAUUAUCAUCUCGUACUGUUACAGGAGUGAACUAUCAUCAUCAUAUACUACUGUUACAGGAGUGAACUAUUAUCAUCUAGUACUGUUACAGGGGUGAACUACAAUUUAGUACUGUUACAGGAGUGAGUGAACUAUAAUUUAGUACUGUUACAGGAGUGAACUAUUAUCAUCAUCUAGUACUGUUACAGGAGUGAACUGUCAUUUAGUACUGUUACAGGA
ensembl:lncRNA